CAGUCGCCGCGGUAAAACGAGGGGGGCAAGCGUUGUUCGGAAUUAUUGGGCGUAAAGGGCGCGUAGGCGGUUUGGCAAGUUUGGUGUGAAAUCUUCGGGCUCAACUCGAAGUCUGCAUCGAAAACUGCCGGGCUUGAAUAUGGGAGAGGUGAGUGGAAUUUCCGGUGUAGCGGUGAAAUGCGUAGAUAUCGGAAGGAACACCUGUGGCGAAAGCGGCUCACUGGACCAUUACUGACGCUGAGGCGCGAAAGCUAGGGGAGCAAACAGGAUUAGAUACCCCAGUAGUCCCUGUCUCUUAUAA
rnacentral:rRNA from 1 species